CAAGGCAUAGCUUAAUACAAAGCAUCCAGCUUACACCCGGAAGAUCUCAGCACUACCCGAUUGCCUUGA
rnacentral:tRNA from 1 species